rnacentral:rRNA from 1 species
CAGUCGCCGCGGUAAGACAGAGGAUGCAAGCGUUAUCCGGAAUUACUGGGCGUAAAGCGUGCGCAGGCGGUUUUGUAAGACAGAGGUGAAAUCCCCGGGCUCAACCUGGGAACUGCCUUUGUGACUGCAAGGCUGGAGUGCGGCAGAGGGGGAUGGAAUUCCGCGUGUAGCAGUGAAAUGCGUAGAUAUGCGGAGGAACACCGAUGGCGAAGGCAAUCCCCUGGGCCUGCACUGACGCUCAUGCACGAAAGCGUGGGGAGCAAACAGGAUUAGAGACCCCCGUAGUCCCUGUCUCUUAUAC